rnacentral:rRNA from 1 species
UACGGAAGGCAGCAGUGGGGAAUAUUGCACAAUGGGCGCAAGCCUGAUGCAGCCAUGCCGCGUGUAUGAAAAAGGCCUUCGGGUUGUAAAGUACUUUCAGUCGUGAGGAAGGUGUUAAGGUUAAUAACCUUAGCAAUUGACGUUAGCGACAGAAGAAGCACCGGCUAACUCCGUGCCAGCAGCCGCGGUAAUACGGAGGGUGCGAGCGUUAAUCGGAAUUACUGGGCGUAAAGGGCACGCAGGCGGUUAAUUAAGUUGGAUGUGAAAUCCCCGGGCUUAACCUGGGAAUGGCAUUCAAGACUGGUUAGCUAGAGUCUUGUAGAGGGGGUAGAAUUCCGAUGUGUAGCGGUGAAAUGCGUAGAGAUGUGGAGGAAUACCGGUGGCGAAGGCGGCCCCUGGGACAAAGACUGACGCUCGAUGUGCGAAAGCGUGGGGAGCAAACAGGGAUUAGAUACCCGU